rnacentral:tRNA from 1 species
GGAGUUGUGGCUCAGUGGUGGAGCGCUUGCCUGGCAUGUAUGUGGCACUGGGUUGGAUCCUCAGCACCA